CAUAUCGACUUAAGGGUGCACUUACAAUGUAUAAUAUAAGUGACGUACAUGCAAAUAUGCGUUCAAGGGCAUGAAAAGAAAUGUACAGAUUUGAAACCGUUCAGCAUAUCGCCCAAUCAUGCGAUCUAUAAGAUAUAUAUUUUAAUGAACCGUAAUUUAUAACUAACAUCAAGGUUUGUCAUUAUUACCAUUUCUGACAUGACUGCUCUAAAUAACCGUGAAACGAGAUCUUGCAUGGAGGAAGAACGGAAACGAAGGAAUUCUUGUUAGUUAGAUGGGCUUUUUAUGAAUGAACGUUCAAUGAGGAGAUUUGGUUUGUUGUCCCUUGCUUCUGAAGUGAUACUCGGAUGAUUGUACAGGCCUUGAAAUAUCAAUUUUAUCGAAUAAAACGAGCAGUGUGAACUCUUUGGUGUUCAUCAAGACGAAUAAAACGAGCAGUGUGAACUCUUUGGUGUUCAUCAAGACCAACCUGUGUUUUUUUGCCAUAUGUCUCUAAUUCUAUAUAAGCUCUCAAGGUUGUUCGAUUUUGUUAUAUGUACACCGAUUUCAUUUGAAACAAAAAAUUAUAUCUUUAAACCGACAGGCUUGAUAA